rnacentral:lncRNA from 1 species
AUGAUUCUAUUGUAUUUGUUAAUGAGAUUAAAAAUAUUUAGAAUCAUAUCUUGCAUGAUCAGCAACUCAUAAGAUGACAUAAUCUGUUAAAUAUUCAGAUAUGUAAAUUUUAUUUAAUGCAUGAGAUGCGUAUGGUGAUGAUCAUGGAUGGACCCUUUAAUUAUGCUGAAAUGUUCUGCAAUGUCUGAGAUGUUCUGUGAUGUUAUGUGAUGCAUGUAAAUCAGAUUUUUAGAUGCCUGCGUGCAUCUUAUAUUGAUGUAUUAGAGACCUGCGUGUCUCAUGAAAAAAGAUUGUAACUAUUAUUUAAUUUUAUUUAUUUUUAAAGUUAUCUGGGAUGUAAUCUGUGAUGUGUUUGCAUGUCAAUGGUUGAUCGGUGCGUGCCUCUACAAGCACGAUUUGCGCGGAUCGAGAUCAAGGGUUGAUUGGAGAUGGAUCAAGGAGUUGAUCGCAAUUGGACCAAGGGUGCUCAAGAUCGAGUCAAGAGUUGAAGACAAUCUAACCAAUUGACGUGCAUGUGCUUGUACUAUG